rnacentral:rRNA from 1 species
AACGAACGCUGGCGGCAUGCCUAACACAUGCAAGUCGAACGAGACCUUCGGGUCUAGUGGCGCACGGGUGCGUAACGCGUGGGAAUCUGCCCUUGGGUUCGGAAUAACAGUUAGAAAUGACUGCUAAUACCGGAUAAUGUCUUCGGACCAAAGAUUUAUCGCCCAGGGAUGAGCCCGCGUAGGAUUAGCUAGUUGGUGAGGUAAAGGCUCACCAAGGCGACGAUCCUUAGCUGGUCUGAGAGGAUGAUCAGCCACACUGGGACUGAGACACGGCCCAGACUCUACGGGAGGCAGCAGUGGGGAAUAUUGGACAAUGGGCGAAAGCCUGAUCCAGCAAUGCCGCGUGAGUGAUGAAGGCCUUAGGUUGUAAAGCUCUUUUACCC